rnacentral:rRNA from 1 species
AACAGGAUUAGAUACCCUGGUAGUCCACGCCGUAAACGAUGUCGACUUGGAGGUUGUGCCCUUGAGGCGUGGCUUCCGGAGCUAACGCGUUAAGUCGACCGCCUGGGGAGUACGGCCGCAAGGUUAAAACUCAAAUGAAUUGACGGGGGCCCGCACAAGCGGUGGAGCAUGUGGUUUAAUUCGAUGCAACGCGAAGAACCUUACCUACUCUUGACAUCCAGAGAACUUAGCAGAGAUGCUUUGGUGCCUUCGGGAACUCUGAGACAGGUGCUGCAUGGCUGUCGUCAGCUCGUGUUGUGAAAUGUUGGGUUAAGUCCCGCAACGAGCGCAACCCUUAUCCUUUGUUGCCAGCGGUUAGGCCGGGAACUCAAAGGAGACUGCCAGUGAUAAACUGGAGGAAGGUGGGGAUGACGUCAAGUCAUCAUGGCCCUUACGAGUAGGGCUACACACGUGCUACAAUGGCGCAUACAAAGAGAAGCGACCUCGCGAGAGCAAGCGGACCUCAUAAAGUGCGUCGUAGUCCGGAUUGGAGUCUGCAACUCGACUCCAUGAAGUCGGAAUCGCUAGUAAUCGUGGACCAGAAUGCCACGGUGAAUACGUUCCCGGGCCUUGUACACACCGCCCGUCACACCAUGGGAGUGGGUUGCAAAAGAAGUAGGUAGCUUAACCUUCGGGAGGGCGCUUACCACUUUGUGAUUCAUGACUGGGGUGAAGUCGUAACAAGGUAACC